rnacentral:rRNA from 1 species
UACGUAGGGCGCAAGCGUUGUCCGGAAUUAUUGGGCGUAAAGAGCUCGUAGGCGGCUUGUCACGUCGGGUGUGAAAGCCCGGGGCUUAACUCCGGGUCUGCGUUCGAUACGGGCAGGCUAGAGUUCGGUAGGGGAGAUCGGAAUUCCUGGUGUAGCGGUGAAAUGCGCAGAUAUCAGGAGGAACACCGGUGGCGAAGGCGGAUCUCUGGGCCGAUACUGACGCUGAGGAGCGAAAGCGUGGGGAGCGAACAGG